rfam:Trichomalopsis sarcophagae strain Alberta scaffold1003, whole genome shotgun sequence.
GUCCAGUACUCGUGGCUGUGGAAGCUAGCGAACGUGACGCAGUCGCCUUACAGCUAUCUGUGGACGAACGCGAGCACGGCGCCGGAGCUCGUGGCCGGAC